ensembl:rRNA 5S_rRNA 5S ribosomal RNA
GUCUACAGCUAUACCACCCUGAACACUCCGGAUCACAUCUGAUCUCAAAAGCCAGGCAGGUCGGGCUUGGUUAGUACUUGGAUGGGAGAAUGUAAGGUUUGAUU